GUUUUGCUUGAGAAUGCUUUGAGCACCUGGAUGUGGAAGGUAAAAUAGAAAUUACAACAAUAAAAUCCUAACUCUAAUAGAAUACUAACUAAAUUCUAAUUAGAGCAUAAUAAUUCUAAGUAAGUUUUAAUCAAAUUCAAAGAAACCUCAAAGGAAUUACAAAAAAAUAAUAAGAAAUAUUAAAGAAAUAUUAAAAUGAUCACAAAUAUAUUUCAAAUACAUCUCAAUUCAAUCUUAAUUUAAUCUUAGUUAAAAUCCUAUUAGACUUCAUUCAAACUUUAGGCCAAAAAUUAACUAAAUCUUAAAUCCUAAACCAAAUCCUAACCAAUCCUAAAUCAAACCUUAAUCAAAUCCUAAACCUUAAAUCAAAUCCUAACCAAACCUUAAAUCCUAAAUCAAAUCCUAAACCCUAAAUCCUAAAUCAAAUCCUAAAUCCUAAAUCAAAUCCUAAAUCCUAAACUAAAUCCUAACUAAAUCGUAAUCAAAUUCUAAAUCCUAAAUUAAAUCCUAAUCCUAACUCUAAAUCAAACCCUAACCAAAUCCUAAAUCCUAAACCAAAUCCUAAUCAAAUCUUAAAUCCUAAACUGAAUCUUAAAUCCUAAAUCAAAUCCUAAUCAAAUCUUAAACCUUAAACCGAAUUCUAAAUCCUAAAUCAAACCCUAAACUUAAAUCAAAUCCUAACCAAACCCUAAAUCUUAAACCAAAUCCUAACCAAACCUUAGUAAUUUCUACAACAAAUUUACACCUCAAUAAGUAAUGAAUGAAACAUUGAUCUUAACUCAAAUUUUUCAUACUUCUUAAAAAUUAAGUUGAAAACAAGUACAAAAAAUCUAAAAAGGAUCGGAAUUACCAAAUAGACGAUAACCUCAAAAAUAAGCUUGGAUAUUAGCCGGCCUCCUUCUCCAACCUUGAUGCCAAUCUCCCAAAGCCAAUAUCUCUUCUUUUCACCAUUCAAUUGAUUUCAAAAUUCUCAUA
rnacentral:lncRNA from 1 species